CAAAGGUGAUUGGAAGCCACAGGGUUCCAGUGGAUGACUGCCUGCCUAGCUUCAACGCUGGUGACAGCACACUUAGUUCCAAGGUGCACAGAGAACUUAAGAAGUUAAAACGGACUGAAGGGGAAAUAUGUACCCAAACUCUAAAAGCUACAGGGAACCUCUUCUGUCUUCUGAUGGUGAAAAGACUUCCUGCUUUCAAACAACAGCCAGGUGGUGUGACAAGAGCCAGCCCACUGGGUGAACAAGCGUUGGGGCUCACAGAGGCUUAAGGCAUCAGGAUGAUUUCUCAAGCCCAUUAAUCUCUGGUGGGACUGCAGGAUACAAGUUCAAUAAAGCAGGCAAACAACUCCUGAAAUAGCCACUACCAACCCUGUUCCACAUCAUCUCUUUUCUCUGGAAAAUGUGCGAGAUUAAGGUACACAAGGUUGGAACUGCAAAGAUUGAGUGCUUACCAUAGCUGCCGGAAAUUCCUCCAUCAGAAGAAAAAAGAUUUCUGAUGGCUUUCAGAGUUUGGAUCCAUCCUGCCCCCUGAGUUUAUCUGCCCAGUGGGAAGAUGUUGUAGGGGUGGCCAGGAGGUCUCAGGCCAAAACCCCCUCCAAAUUCAAGCCUGGGAGAAAGGACUUGAAGCAACACAAGGCUUGACAGCACAGAAGCAAUUCCCAUUCCAGCUGCCAGAGUCUCCUUUUUCUAGGAAGAAGCAUCUCAGGUCUCAGUGACUGUCAUUCUCGAGUUUGCCAGAUACAAGAAGAAUGUGAGCCCACAAAUCUAGACAACAGAUCACUGAACAAAAAGGAUUGGAAAAUAGAAAAUGUUCAGCCUAGAGAGUCGGGCAGAGCUUCAUCAUCAUGAACAGAAACAUCUUCCCAGGACCCUCUCACCAGAAGGACCCAGUCCACCUGGGGACCUGAAGUGGAUUCCUGACCAGAUCAACGUGUCCCUCCACCUGUUGCCUGGAAGCAGCUCACACACCAGGCUGCCCAGACCAACCAGUGGGCAUGGAGCUGGUGGCUGUGGGCAAGAGCUGUGUUCCAGAGCACACUCUGUGUGAAGACCCUGGGGCCCACCUCAGAGAGAUGGGGUGCUGGCAGUGGAGGAGCCAUGGCCACACAGGAGCAUGUCUAGCCCUUUGCCUUGAACAGCAAUAACCAGCAGGAUGCUGCACCCACCACAUGGAGGCUGCUGACCAAGUGUUAGGCUCGCCAGGCUCCUCACUAUCACAGGUAGAGUCACCUCCGCCAACUUCUAGGAAUUGCCUUUUCUAGAGGACACUGAGUCUUGGGUGUUUGGACAGAGACUCAGGACUGCACUGUUCUGAGUAAAUCCCUCUGAGAAAACUAGCACUCCAGACAACUGCAAACUCACACCCUCUUCACAGCUGCUGUAACACCUUGUGCCCCUGGCUCAGCCUCACACCUUGGUGAUUUUGGGUAAAUCCCCACAACUUCCCCAAACAGACACCCGAAAUCAUUAAGGAUUUAGACCCCAGAACACCCCCGGCAGUGGAACAGUCUCCUUAGGAAAACUGCAGGCCUGCAACGCCCACCCCCCAACUUCCCCAGCAAGCUCAAGCAAACACAGAAAUAAAAUCUUCCAUCCCUGUGGGAUGAAAGUUCGCAUCCUAAACUGAUGGCUGCAAAUGGCUUUUAGCAAAAAUGUCUGUCUCUUUUCCUGUCUUUCUCUCUCAUUUAUUUUAUUUCCUCUGUGGCAAAACCAUUCUAAAAUUGUUUUAGGUCAUUCUAGUGCGGAUCAGUAUCACACAAAAUGAGCCUGACACUUUCAAAUCUGUAACCCAUAACUUUCUGGUUGGUUAAUUAUUUAUGUGGACCUGGGAAUUCUCCAUUCCACCAACCUGGAGAACAGAUAUGGUGGCUGGAUGGUUUCUAGUUAAAGCUGGUCCAGCCUCCUAGGGGUGAGAUCCCAACUGCUGGGCCCUGAUGGGAGUUGUGCUCCAGCAGGACGACCCUCUG